GAUGAACGCUGGCGGCGUGCCUAAUACAUGCAAGUCGAGCGAAGCGAGGACGGGCGAGUAACUCGUGGAUAACCUCCUAUCAGACUGGGAUAACUUCGGGUAACCGGAGCUAAACCGGCUAAUUAUAGAUGAUUCCUGGCUGCAUUAGCUUGGUGGUAAGGUAACGGACUACCAAGGCAACGAUGCAUAGCCGACCGGCGAGGGGAGGCAGCCACACCAGAACGGAGACACGGUCCAGACGCAUACGGGAGGCAGCAGUAGGGAAACGUCCGCUAUGGGCGAAAGCCUAACGGGGCAACGCCGCGUGGGUGAUAAAGGUCUUCGUAUCGGAAAACUCUGUUAUUAGGGAAGCGGUACCUAAUCAGAAAGCCUCGGCUAACUACGUGCCAGCAGCCGCGGUAAUUC
rnacentral:rRNA from 1 species